GACGAACGCUGGCGGCGUGCUUAACACAUGCAAGUCGAACGGAAAGGCCCUGCUUUUGUGGGGUGCUCGAGUGGCGAACGGGUGAGUAACACGUGAGUAACCUGCCCUUGACUUUGGGAUAACUUCAGGAAACUGGGGCUAAUACCGGAUAGGAGCUCCUGCUGCAUGGUGGGGGUUGGAAAGUUUCGGCGGUUGGGGAUGGACUCGCGGCUUAUCAGCUUGUUGGUGGGGUAGUGGAUUACCAAGGCUUUGACGGGUAGCCGGCCUGAGAGGGUGACCGGCCACAUUGGGACUGGGGUACGGCCCAGACUCCUACGGGAGGCAGCAGUGGGGAAUAGUGCACAAUGGGCGGAAGCCUGAUGCAGCAACGCCGGGUGCGGGAUGACGGCCUUCGGGUUGGAAACCGCUUUCGCCUGUGACGAAGCGUGAGUGACGGUAAUGGGUAAAGAAGCACCGGCUAACUACGUG
rnacentral:rRNA from 1 species